rnacentral:rRNA from 1 species
UGGGGAAUAUUGCACAAUGGGCGAAAGCCUGAUGCAGCGACGCCGCGUGAGGGAUGACGGCCUUCGGGUUGUAAACCUCCUUCAGUAGGGACGAAGCGCAAGUGACGGUACCUGCAGAAGAAGCACCGGCUAACUACGUGCCAGCAGCCGCGGUAAUACGUAGGGUGCGAGCGUUGUCCGGAAUUACUGGGCGUAAAGAGCUCGUAGGCGGUUUGUCACGUCGUCUGUGGAAUCCUAGGGCUUAACCCUGGACGUGCAGGCGAUACGGGCUGACUUGAGUACUACAGGGGAGACUGGAAUUUCUGGUGUAGCGGUAGAAUGCACAGAUAUCAGGAAGAGCACCGAUGGCGAAGGCAGGUCUCUGGGUAGUAACUGACGCUGAGGAGCGAAAGCAUGGGUAGCGAACAGG